UGGUGACUCCUUUUGAUCAGACAUGCUUGCAGAUCACUCCACAAACAGAAAUCUUCAGGCAACUGGAGAGUCCGUCCAUCAUCACAGUAACCGAAAAAGAAAGAAAAAACAAAGUUCCACUCAUCAUUGAUCAAUACUUCCACACGGCUGCCCCUCACUCCCCACCUCUCCACCUGCUGGAUUAAUAGUAUAGUCUCGAGAGUCAUCCAUGUCCAGUGGCAGGACAGAAGUCAGGACAAAGCCUGGGAUGUAGUGGACAGUGCUGGCAUCUUAGAUGGCUGACUAGGGGUCUAGGCAUUUCAUAGCAAUUGCUUCACAGCCCUUGAAAAAAAUUGUUCUCAUCCACACAUUCUUCCAGAGAAGUCUCCACAUGCUUGGGGUGGCCAUUCCCCUUACUCACCGCCAGGUUUGUUGGUUAUUCAAUCUGGUUUAGCCUGUCUGCCAAGAUGAUUUUACUGGGCUGUGGCCACUGUUCAUGCUACAGCUUCUUAGAGCCACAAGUGAGGGUUGGGUUAGAGAUAGACACCAAAGAUGGAUAGACACCUGAAAAGGGCUUGGUAAGCCUUCAUGCCGGAGGCGCUGAUCCUUUCUGAACAUCCCACCCACCCCAACCCACCCCAAAGAAAAAUGGCACCUUUCCCAAAAGCCAAAAGUCAGGUUCUAUUUUUAUCCUACAUAUUUAGUACUUUUUGAAUUCUCAUUGAAUAUGUAGUUUUCAGUUCAGUAGAAUAUUCAGAAAGGAGCUUGGUGGUUGGUUCAGAGUACAGUCGUCAGAAAAUUAAAGGCAAACAGAUUUCCCCUUGAGGAGCUUACUCUUCAAAACAGAGUAAGUGCAACAACAAACAUUAAUUAAGUACUUCUUAUGAACAAGGUAAGCAUAUAGCAGUGAAUUGGGGUCUGCCUUUGGAGUCAGGAAGACCUAAGGUCAAGCCAAAUCUCAGACACAUAUUUACUGUGUGACUUGAAGAACCUUGUCUCUGGGAACCUUGGGCAACUUCUAAAACCAGAAAUUACAGACCAGUCUUGGAUUUCCCUGGGUGAAGGCAGUUUCCACACCAGGAGUUCUCUCUAGCAAUGAAAUCACAGAUUUGGGCCAAUGUACAGGGUGCCAUGCAAAGUAUUGGGGUCACAAAUACAAAAAUAAAGCAAGUCCCAUUCUCAAAGCUCUUACAUCGCAUUGUAAUAUCAAAUAUACUGAACUCUCAAGAUAAAUUCAUAUUACUUUUCCAAGCACUAGUGAAAUAUCUGGUGCUUUCUUGGGAUACACAUAUGAAAGUCUUGCAAGAUGAAGACGCAGCUCAAGCAAAACUAAGAAACCUUCCAUGUCCUUAUGUGGGGAUUUCAGAGCUUGUUUGACAUCAAGUUCAUUGUCCCCAUUUGACAUGGCUAUCAAGUAAACUCAUAAUCAAAGAAAAUGGGAAAGUUGGGCUGGAAAAUGCUUUUAGGCCAUUUUCUCUGGUCCUUUGCCACACUACUGAAGCAAUCCUUUCCAGAUUAGUCAUUUUAAAUGACUGGGAAAGAACUAUAUGCAAUCCAAUUUGGUUCUGGAGGGGCUGCUCCAUUCAUAAUCUCCCUAGUUAACAUAUCCAUAUAUACAUGCACACGUCUAAACUCAUAUCUAGGCAUAUACACAUAUUUAUAUGAAUAUAGGGGCCAUACAUAUAUAUAUCUGUAGCUAAUCCAUAUCAACAUCGACAUCUGUCUCUAUCUACAUUUACACCUAUUUGUCUACAUCUAUGUAUAUUUAUCUAUAUCUAUAUCUAUACUAUCUAUAUUUAUAUGUGCAUCGAUCUCCAUCGACAUAUAGAAAUAUCUCUACAUCCUUCUGUAUAUGUUUAUAUCUAUAGCUAUCUAUUUAUGUCUGUAUCUAUCCAUAUAUGUCUAUAUCUUUAUCAUCUAUAUCAAGGAGGUUCAUAAAAGUCUUAGUAAAACUUUAAGCUCUAACAGCUUACUUACAGCUACUCUGAGACUUUUGGAAAACACUGUAUUCUUUUUUAUAUUUUUAUUGUCAUGCAAAACAUACUUCCAUAUUGGUCAUUGUUGUAAGAAAAAACUCAUACAUCACUGGAACCCCAAAAUAAAACCAAAGAUACACUGAUGUGAAAGAUGACUCUAACACUUCUUCCUCUGGAGGUGGAGAACAUUCCCAGUCAUAAUUCUUUCAGGAUUAUCCCAGAUCAAACACUCUAUAUUCUUAGGGUAGCUGGGUGGUUAGAGUGCAGAGGAAGACUCUUCUUCAUGAGUUCAAAUCUGGUCUCAGAAAAGUACUACCUGUGUGACCCUGGGCUAGUCACUGAAUUCUGUUGACCUCAGUUUCCCCAUCUGUAAAAUGAGCUGGAGAUGGAAAUGGAAAACCACUCUAGUAUCUUUGCCAAGAAAACCCCAAAUGGAGUCAUAAAGAGUUGGACGGGACUAAAAUGAUCGAGGUUGACAAACAAGUCUAUUCUUCAGGGAGGAUGCUCUUAGGGUGUCAGUGGCAUAAUGCCAGAGUUGGAAAAGACCUUGAAGCUCAUCUAGCCCCAUCAGGAGGCACGAGGAGAAAAGUGUCUUGCCUGAGGUCACAUAGGUAGCAAAUGGCUGAUUACAUGCAGUCCAGGAGCUCUGAUUCCAAGCAUUCUUUCUCCAAUGGGUAAACUGCUUGCAGGGAGUAACUGAGCUCCUUCCAUCCUUUUCAUUCACCCUUCAUACUUGCUGUUUUAUUUCAUGGAAGCAAUCUAAGCAGCAAAUUAAGUUUUGUGACUAGACUACAGGUCCAGAAUACAUUGUCAGAGCAGCAAGGCCCUUGUAUCUAAUGAAUGUUCAAAAAGUAUUAAUGUAUUUCUUGACUAGAAAUGAGAGCUGACUUUUGGCUUGGGGGUCCUAAGCAGCUUCAUUUGAGACAGGCCAUUUGAUGGCAGCGGCCAAGAGCAUCAAGUCCUCAGAAUGAAUCCUGUGCUGGAGAUGUAUUCAAUCAGGCCAACAAAUGAACUCGCCUGUGUUUGUUAGAGUCUUGUACUUUAUAAAUUAGGGUGCUGCUGCUCUUCUUUAAUACCAUUUAGCCUGCCAUUAGCCAAUCAUAUUAUGCUGGGGAUAGUCCUUCACUGGUCUCUCGAAUAGAUUUUUCUUUGACUUUAAUCACUCUGGUAAGGAACCAAAACCCAAGAUUCUGAUUACAUGGGACAGAUUUAUAAUUACUUAGCUUGCAUCAGCACAGUUAGUGGAAAGUGACACGUUGCCAGUUCAUAGCCUUAUAAUGAUGAGGCAUUUCGUCUUAAAAAAAAAAAAGGUCUGCUAAUCUCCAAGUAAAUUUGUCCUUUGAUCUCCCUUCCCUUUCUUGCAGAAUGUUAAAAUGAGACCAUCUUGGCCACUGAAUUUGAAAUGCUCUGAAACCUCAUUUCUUGAGACUAAACUCAAGGUGGAAUUUUAAGGGCAUCUUUCUUGUCCUUUUCCACCCAAUUAACCUUGAAACCAUAUUUUUUCAAUUAUUCUUUCAAGAUUUGGACAAUCUGUCUGAGUCGCCAGUAAUUUCCAAUUACUCUUUGCUGCUCUGGUUUAGACAUUGGUUAUUAUACCAACAUUACUGGAUGUGUGGUGACAAGAGAGGUGAAAUCAAAGGUAAGAUGGCUUGAAAGAGGCCAACACUGAUCUGGCCAUGUCCGAACCCUUUUCAGCUCCGGAAAGGUUGUGGAAUAAAAGUGCCCGAGCUGCCCCAUAUCUUCCAUCCAAGAGAUCAAAAAGCAAGAUUAGAAGGAAGGAUUUUAGUGCUUAGAUUAGACGACCUUAAAGAGGAGAUUAGUGAAAUAUUGAAUGUCACUUUGGAGGCUGUUGAGAAUGAAGUCAAAAGACAUAUUUUUAAAUCAGUUUUACAGUUCCAGUGGAAAUGAAUGACAGUGGUUGAAAUCACCCGUGUACUCUGAUCUCUGCAGUCUUGAGGAAUAAGUGAUUGUGUGGCUGGGCAAUGCAGAAGAGUCUGGGAAUGAUAGAGAGUCAGCAGCUAGAUCAGAGAAAAGAAAGUAUUGAAAGCCAAGGUGUGGAGUGACAAAAUUAUGUACUGGAGACUGUUUCUCCUUGAGAUAAUGUAAGCCCCUAAAUAGCAAGAGCCCUAAAAGAGCAAUAAAAUGCCUUGACAGCCUGAUGGAUGGGGGCAUUAAAAUUUUUUUCAACAUAAAGAAUGGGAUCCUGUAAAAGCAUUUCCUAACUAGGAAAGGGAUUAUCACAAUGUAAGCUGAUGGGAAAUGUUUGUGCCAUUUGGUAUCUAGUGCCUGCUGUCCUUCCAAUAUGUAUGUUUGCACUGAAAUAUUGUUGGAUGUAGCAAGUCUUUCUUUAGCGACAGCAACGCUCGUAUUUUGUUUUCAGCCCCUUUUUUCUAAUCUUUCCGCGUGUCUGGAGGAUCCAUUUUAUUUCUGAGGUUUUAUGACAUUCUUCCUCACUAGCAAUAAGUUUGCCAUCCCUCUCCCUUCCCACCUCUGCGGCCUCAGGAGGAGAACUCGGAUUCUGAGGAAGCUGAGAGCGUGUUCUGUGUUACUGUCAGGUAGGUAACUAUCACUGAGAUGUGGCAAAUACUGGGGGAAAAGACUGGUUUAUUGGAAAGCCUAUAGCAGUUACAUUGCUCCCAUCAAUAAUGGUAAUUAUGGUUACAGAGCGCCUCUCCCCCAGGGGUUCAGAGCACUUUAUAGAUGAUGUCUCAUUGAUCCUCCUAACGGUGCAACAGAGAGCUGGGAACAAGCACUAGAAUGAUCACUUUUAGAGAUGAGGAAACUGAAGCCUGGGGCUUUGGGCUGGCAGGUUAGAGGAGAACAGGCAAUGGCAUAGUGACUUAGUCUACAUGGGAAUUUCCUCCUGAGUGAGUAUUCCUGGCAAGGUUGCAUCAAAGGCUCGGCUGGUGUAUGAAGAACAGAAGAAACAUCUAAGGAUGACUGAAGACAUGCAAUGCCAGGUCCAAGGAUCUGCUGAAGAAUCACAGAAGCCAGUUUUGCCCUCUUUGUGUAAUAGAUGACUGGACUUGGUCUCAGGAAUAUCUGGAUUUGAAUUGUGGCUCUGAUGCUUGUUGGUGGCACAACCAUGGAAGAGGAAUUUAUACUCUUUUAGUCUCAGUCUUUUCAUCUGUUAAAUGGGGAUAAUAAGAACUAUAGUAUCCACCCCCAUCCUGGAUUGUUCCAGGACCAGAAUGAGAUAAUAUAUUUAUGUGUUACAUGCAUGUAAUAUGUAGAUAUAUAUAUUCUAUGUGCAUCUAUAAUAUAUUAAAGCUAAAAACUAUGUUGAGACUUUUGGGAAACCUUAUAUGUAUGUUUAUAAACUUAUACCUAUACAUAAUGUCAAUUACUAUUACUAUAUACUGUGAUUAUUCUACUUCUCCCAUAUGUCUAGUUUAUAGUAGAAUUACUUGUGAACUACAUUUUAAUAGGAAGGGAACCUUAUUCAUCUUUGUAUUUACACAAACCCUUUAGUAGUCCCUUCAGUAUAGUAUUUGUUGCCAAACGCUAGGUAUGGUGCUAAGUAUUUACACAUAUUAUCUCAUUUGAUCUUUAUGACAACUCUGGGAGGUAAUAUUAUUAUUCCUGUUUUUUUGGAAUAUAAUAGAAUUUAAUAAAAGUUUGUUGAAUUAAUGAACAGUUACAAGUCUAGUAUUUUUUUUAAACCCUUACCUCCCGUCUUAGAAUCAAUACUGUGUUUUGGUU